UACGGAGGGUGCGAGCGUUAUCCGGAAUUGCUGGGUUUAAAGGGUGCGUAGGCGGCUUUGUAAGUCAGGAGUGAAAGUUUGCGGCUCAACCGUAAAAUUGCUUUUGAUACUGCGAGGCUAGAAUUAGGAUGAGGUCAGCGGAAUGUGGCAUGUAGCGGUGAAAUGCAUAGAUAUGCCAUAGAACACCAAUUGCGAAGGCAGCUGGCUAGACCUGGAUUGACGCUGAGGCACGAAAGCGUGGGGAGCGAACAGG
rnacentral:rRNA from 1 species